rnacentral:misc_RNA from 1 species
GAUGAAGAACGUAGCAAAAUGCGAUAAGUAAUGUGAAUUGCGGAAUUCAGUGAAUCAUCGAAUCUUUGAACGCACAUUGCGCCCGCUGGUAUUCCGGCGGGCAUGCCUGUUCGAGCGUCAUUUCAACCCUCAAGCCCCCGGGUUUGGUGUUGGGGAUCGGCUCUGCCCUUCUGGGCGGUGCCGCCCCCGAAAUACAUUGGCGGUCUCGCUGCAGCCUCCAUUGCGUAGUAGCUAACACCUCGCAACUGGAACGCGGCGCGGCCAUGCCGUAAAACCCCAACUUCUGAAUGUUGACCUCGGAUCAGGUAGGAAUACCCGCUGAACUUAAGCAUAUCAAUAAGCGGAGGA